rnacentral:rRNA from 1 species
CCUACGGGAGGCAGCAGUGGGGAAUUUUGGACAAUGGGGGCAACCCUGAUCCAGCAAUGCCGCGUGAGUGAAGAAGGCCCUCGGGUUGUAAAGCUCUUUUGUCAGGGAAGAAAAGGUUGCGGCUAAUAUCCGCGACUCAUGACGGUACCUGAAGAAUAAGCACCGGCUAACUACGUGCCAGCAGCCGCGGUAAUACGUAGGGUGCAAGCGUUAAUCGGAAUUACUGGGCGUAAAGCGUGCGCAGGCGGUUUUGUAAGACUGUCGUGAAAUCCCCGGGCUUAACCUGGGAAUGGCGAUGGUGACUGCAAGGCUAGAGUUUGGCAGAGGGGGGUAGAAUUCCACGUGUAGCAGUGAAAUGCGUAGAUAUGUGGAGGAACACCGAUGGCGAAGGCAGCCCCCUGGGUCAAAACUGACGCUCAUGCACGAAAGCGUGGGGAGCAAACAGGAUUAGAUACCCUGGUAGUCCACGCCCUAAACGAUGUCUACUAGUUGUCGGGCCUUAAUUGACUUGGUAACGCAGCUACGCGUGAGUAGACCGCCGUGGGAGGUACGGUCGCGAGAGUAAACUACGAAGAAGUAGAGCGUGAGAGUGCGACGACGACGACGAGGGAGAGG